GAUGAACGCUGGCGGCGUGCUUAACACAUGCAAGUCGAACGAAGCACUUAAGAUUGAUUCUUCGGAUGACGUCUUUUGUGCCUUAGUGGCGGACGGGUGAGUAACGCGUGGGUAACCUGCCUCACACAGGGGGAUAACAGUUAGAAAUGACUGCUAAUACCGCAUAACCCGAUAGGAUCGCAUGAUCCAGACGGAAAAGAUUUAUCGGUGUGAGAUGGACCCGCGUCUGAUUAGCUAGUUGGUGAGGUAACGGCCCACCAAGGCGACGAUCAGUAGCCGGCCUGAGAGGGUGAACGGCCACAUUGGGACUGAGACACGGCCCAAACUCCUACGGGAGGCAGCAGUGGGGAAUAUUGCACAAUGGGGGAAACCCUGAUGCAGCGACGCCGCGUGAGUGAAGAAGUAUUUCGGUAUGUAAAGCUCUAUAAGCAGGGAAGAAAAUGACGGUACCUGACGAAGAAGCCCCGGCUAACUACGUG
rnacentral:rRNA from 1 species